rnacentral:lncRNA from 1 species
GUAUAUAAAAUCUAAAAGAUAUUGAAGAUAAAAUCAGCAUGCAUGCAUAUGAGCAGUAGAUCACAUCUACUUCUAAUCUAAAUUCAAAACUUGAUACCUGAGUAUGGGUUGAUGAUCGCCACUGUUGAGAUACAUGGUAGAGAGUAUCCUUGUUGGUUGCUCACAGUCACACACACGUCUGGUCUCUAUGAAAAAUUCACUCGAAGCCCU